UCGCUUCAGCAGCACAUAUACUAAAAUUGGAACAAUACAGAGAAGAUUACAUGGCCCCUGCACAAAAAUGACAGGCAAAUUGGUGAAGCUUUCCCUAUUUUU
ensembl:snRNA U6 U6 spliceosomal RNA